UGGGGAAUAUUGGACAAUGGGCGCAAGCCUGAUCCAGCAAUGCCGCGUGGAUGAUGAAGGCCUUAGGGUUGUAAAGUCCUUUCGGCGGGGACGAUGAUGACGGUACCCGCAGAAGAAGCCCCGGCUAACUUCGUGCCAGCAGCCGCGGUAAUACGAAGGGGGCUAGCGUUGUUCGGAAUUACUGGGCGUAAAGGGCGCGUAGGCGGCUGUCCAAGUCAGAUGUGAAAGCCCCGGGCUUAACCUGGGAAUUGCAUUUGAGACUGGGCGGCUUGAGUUUCGGAGAGGUGGGUGGAAUUCCCAGUGUAGAGGUGAAAUUCGUAGAUAUUGGGAAGAACACCGGUGGCGAAGGCGGCCCACUGGACGAACACUGACGCUGAGGCGCGAAAGCGUGGGGAGCAAACAG
rnacentral:rRNA from 1 species